UACGGGGGGGGCAAGCGUUGUUCGGAAUUACUGGGCGUAAAGGGCUCGUAGGCGGCCAACUAAGUCGGAUGUGAAAUCCCCAGGCUUAACCUGGGAACUGCAUCCGAUACUGGAUGGCUUGAAUUCGGGAGAGGGAUGCAGAGUUCCAGGUGUAGCGGUGAAAUGCGUAGAUAUCUGGAGGAAUACCGGUGGCGAAGGCGGCAUCCUGGACCGACAUUGACGCUGAGGAGCGAAAGCUAGGGAAGCAAACGGG
rnacentral:rRNA from 1 species